CCUACGGGUGGCAGCAGUGAGGAAUAUUGCACAAUGGGGGGAACCCUGAUGCAGCGACGCCGCGUGAGUGAAGAAGUAUUUCGGUAUGUAAAGCUCUGUCAGCAGGGAAGAAGAAAGACGGUACCUGACCAAGAAGCCCCGGCUAACUACGUGCCAGCAGCCGCGGUAAUACGUAGGGGGCAAGCGUUAUCCGGAUUUACUGGGUGUAAAGGGAGCGUAGACGGCAGGGCAAGUCUGGAGUGAAAGGCAGGGGCCCAACCCCUGGACUGCUCUGGAAACUGUCCGGCUGGAGUGCAGGAGAGGUAAGUGGAAUUCCUAGUGUAGCGGUGAAAUGCGUAGAUAUCAAGAGGAAUACUCAUUGCGAAGGCGACCUACUGGAACAUUACUGACGCUCAUGCACGAAAGCGUGGGGAGCAAACAGGAUUAGAUACCCCAGUAGUC
rnacentral:rRNA from 1 species